rnacentral:rRNA from 1 species
UACGUAGGUGGCAAGCGUUGUCCGGAUUUAUUGGGUUUAAAGGGUGCGUAGGCGGUCCUAUAAGUCAGUGCUGAAAUAUCCCGGCUUAACCGGGAGGGUGGCAUUGAUACUGCAGGACUUGAGUAAAGUUGAGGUAGGCGGAAUUGACGGUGUAGCGGUGAAAUGCUUAGAUAUCGUCAAGAACACCGAUAGUGUAGACAGCUUACUA